rnacentral:rRNA from 1 species
GAGAAGGCUAUGUUGGCCGGGCGACGGUUGUCCCGGUUUAAGCGUGUAGGUGUGUGUUCCAGGUAAAUCCGGUUCACUUUAACACUGAGGCGUGAUGACGAGGCACUACGGUGCUGAAGUAACAAAUGCCCUGCUUCCAGGAAAAGCCUCUAAGCAUCAGGUAACAUCAAAUCGUACCCCAAACCGACACAGGUGGUCAGGUAGAGAAUACCAAGGCGCUUGAGAGAACUCGGGUGAAGGAACUAGGCAAAAUGGUGCCGUAACUUCGGGAGAAGGCACGCUGACACGUAGGUGAAGUGAUUUACUCACGGAGCUGAAGUCAGUCGAAGAUACCAGCUGGCUGCAACUGUUUAUUAAAAACACAGCACUGUGCAAACACGAAAGUGGACGUAUACGGUGUGACGCCUGCCCGGUGCCGGAAGGUUAAUUGAUGGGGUCAGCGCAAGCGAAGCUCCUGAUCGAAGCCCCGGUAAACGGCGGCCGUAACUAUAACGGUCCUAAGGUAGCGAAAUUCCUUGUCGGGUAAGUUCCGACCUGCACGAAUGGCGUAAUGAUGGCCAGGCUGUCUCCACCCGAGACUCAGUGAAAUUGAACUCGCUGUGAAGAUGCAGUGUACCCGCGGCAAGACGGAAAGACCCCGUGAACCUUUACUAUAGCUUGACACUGAACAUUGAGCCUUGAUGUGUAGGAUAGGUGGGAGGCUUUGAAGUGUGGACGCCAGUCUGCAUGGAGCCGACCUUGAAAUACCACCCUUUAAUGUUUGAUGUUCUAACGUGGACCCGUUACCCGGGUUGCGGACAGUGUCUGGUGGGUAGUUUGACUGGGGCGGUCUCCUCCUAAAGAGUAACGGAGGAGCACGAAGGUUGGCUAAUCCUGGUCGGACAUCAGGAGGUUAGUGCAAUGGCAUAAGCCAGCUUGACUGCGAGCGUGACGGCGCGAGCAGGUGCGAAAGCAGGUCAUAGUGAUCCGGUGGUUCUGAAUGGAAGGGCCAUCGCUCAACGGAUAAAAGGUACUCCGGGGAUAACAGGCUGAUACCGCCCAAGAGUUCAUAUCGACGGCGGUGUUUGGCACCUCGAUGUCGGCUCAUCACAUCCUGGGGCUGAAGUAGGUCCCAAGGGUAUGGCUGUUCGCCAUUUAAAGUGGUACGCGAGCUGGGUUUAGAACGUCGUGAGACAGUUCGGUCCCUAUCUGCCGUGGGCGCUGGAGAACUGAGGGGGGCUGCUCCUAGUACGAGAGGACCGGAGUGGACGCAUCACUGGUGUUCGGGUUGUCAUGCCAAUGGCACUGCCCGGUAGCUAAAUGCGGAAGAGAUAAGUGCUGAAAGCAUCUAAGCACGAAACUUGCCCCGAGAUGAGUUCUCCCUGAGACUUUAGGUCUCCUGAAGGAACGUUGAAGACGACGACGUUGAUAGGCCGGGUGUGUAAGCGCAGCGAUGCGUUGAGCUAACCGGUACUAAUGAACCGUGAGGCUUAACCUUACAACGCCGAAG